UGGGGAAUAUUGGACAAUGGGCGAAAGCCUGAUCCAGCCAUGCCGCGUGUGUGAAGAAGGUCUUCGGAUUGUAAAGCACUUUAAGUUGGGAGGAAGGGCAGUAAGCGAAUACCUUGCUGUUUUGACGUUACCGACAGAAUAAGCACCGGCUAACUCUGUGCCGGCAGCCGCGGUAAUACAGAGGGUGCAAGCGUUAAUCGGAAUUACUGGGCGUAAAGCGCGCGUAGGUGGUUCGUUAAGUUGAAUGUGAAAGCCCCGGGCUCAACCUGGGAACUGCAUCCAAAACUGGCGAGCUAGAGUAGGGCAGAGGGUGGUGGAAUUUCCUGUGUAGCGGUGAAAUGCGUAGAUAUAGGAAUGAACACCAGUGGCGAAGGCGACCACCUGGGCUCAUACUGACACUGAGGUGCGAAAGCGUGGGGAGCAAACAGG
rnacentral:rRNA from 1 species